GGCGACGUGGUAUAGUGGUUAGCGCGCCUGCCUGUAACCCAGAGGUAUCGGGUUCAAGACUCGACGCUGCUA
rnacentral:tRNA from 1 species